rnacentral:tRNA from 1 species
GCGGAUGCGGCUCAAUGGUCGAGCGCCGCCUCGCCAAGGUGGAUGGUGACGGUUCGAGUCCGUUCAUCCGCU